rnacentral:rRNA from 1 species
UACGUAGGGGGCAAGCGUUGUCCGGAAUCAUUGGGCGUAAAGCGCGCGUAGGCGGCCCGGUAAGUCCGCUGUAAAAGUCCAGGGCUCAACCCUGGAAAGCCGGUGGAUACUGUCGGGCUAGAGUCCGGAAGAGGCGAGUGGAAUUCCUGGUGUAGCGGUGGAAUGCGCAGAUAUCAGGAGGAACACCGAUGGCGAAGGCAGCUCGCUGGGACGGCACUGACGCUGAGGCGCGAAAGCCAGGGGAGCAAACGGG